rnacentral:rRNA from 1 species
UACGGAGGGUGCGAGCGUUGUCCGGAUUUAUUGGGUUUAAAGGGUGCGUAGGUGGCCUAUUAAGUCAGUGGUGAAAUACAGCCGCUUAACGGUUGAGGUGCCAUUGAUACUGAUGGGCUUGAAAUAAUUGGAGGCUGCCGGAAUGGAUGGUGUAGCGGUGAAAUGCAUAGAUAUCAUCCAGAACACCGAUUGCGAAGGCAGGUGGCUACGAUUGGUUUGACACUGAGGCACGAAAGCAUGGGGAGUAAACAGG